UUCGGUUCGGUUUUUUCCCCUUCCAAACCGGUUCAAACCGAAAUUUUUAUACUUGCUUCCAUUUUCCAAAAAAUCAAACUCCAAUUUUCGUUUUGUUCUCCUUGUCCAGAAGUUAAACCCUGCAAAAAAUACACAAAACAAAAGGAUUUGACUGUAAAAAAAUAAAGAGAAAAUCAAAAGUUAUUGAAAUGUAAAAUCAUCAAAAAACAUGGAGGAGAAGAAUACAGAUUUGAGAGAUGAGAGACAAGAAAAGCAUCGAGAGCAUUGAUACAGAAACCGUUGAGAGUGCAGAGUUUUUAGAUCUUGGUUUCUCUGAAAUCCCAA
rnacentral:lncRNA from 1 species